UACGGGGGGGGUAAGCGUUGUUCGGAAUUACUGGGCGUAAAGGGCUCGUAGGCGGCCAACUAAGUCAGACGUGAAAUCCCUCAGCUUAACUGGGGAACUGCGUCUGAUACUGGAUGGCUUGGAUUCGGGAGAGGAAUGCGGAAUUCCAGGUGUAGCGGUGAAAUGCGUAGAUAUGCGGAGGAACACCGAUGGCGAAGGCAAUCCC
rnacentral:rRNA from 1 species